GCAGAGUUGGGGAGAAGGAGGUAGGAGUACAGCAAGUGAAAUACCUGCUUAUUGCUCCUUCUGCAAUUCAGUCAAUCUGUAAUAAAUAUUCCUCACAUUAUUCCAAGCCUUUAUUUCCAAAGUUCUGAAGAAAUUGAGUGAUCUUUUUUUUUUUUUAACCGGUGUUAUUUUUAUGGACAAGAGGCUUUCAGGUUUCCUUAUUUUGCCAUUUCUAGGGGGGUCAUCACUUACUCAUUUUUGACUUUGAAAUAGUUUUUAAAAUUUCCACUCGUGUUAUUUUUCUAAGGUAUAUUUUUGAAUAAAAUAAUACUAUUGAUUGUGCUAAUGUUCUAUUUAUGACCCUGCAGAUCAACUGUCAAUUUUCCACACCUGCCUGUGACCCAUGAGGCUGGCCUUCACGGACUGCUUCAACCAGCAUCUCCGGCUCUCUGGUUUCCAGGUGUCCUCGGACAACAGGAAACACCACCAUGAGACAGGAAAACACAAGAAGAGAGAGAUAAAGAAAACAGGAAGGAAACAGAUUGAGACCUCUGGAAACAGAUAUGGAGACAGAGUUGCAUGCCGAAGAUUUACUGGAGAGCACUCUUGGGGGAUACACCUAUAAGGAAGUUGAUAAAAGCAAAAUGGAUGCAGAGAGAGGCUGACUCGUGAUGCAGCUGCAUCCAGGACAUCAGCUGAUCUUAUAUGGAGAUAGAAUAACCCUUCAGGGUUGUCUCAAAUUGAGGCUAGAUGGCUGAGACUUCGAAUCUCUGCUUCAGCCAAUUACUAGCUGAGAAUCACCUCUGGUGGGAGUUACAACAUUGGGUCAGGCUGUUCUUGGCGGCCCAGUGAAAUUCCCAUAAAAGGUACUUCUGUGAGCCAUCAGCAGUUGACAAUCCUAGCAGCUGGGGGAUGGGGAUGCUACUUGGAAAGGUGGUCCCCUACAGCCCAUCCUUUGUGCCAUUUAUGUUCACUUGUUUUUCCUAAUAAUUUGCCCCAUUUGGGAUAGCUUCUUCAAGAUGUGUUGCUGCAGUUGAUCUUGAAGCUGUAACUGAGACUCAGUCAUCCCCUUUCUCUAUCAUUCAUUCUAGAUUCUCCUUUCUACAGCUAGCACCAAACCUGGUCUGGGUCAAUUUUUUGGUGAGAUGACCUAAACCUUUGUCUUGGAAGAGUCUGAAGCCCUGGUUACCAUGCCCAUCUCAGGUGAUGCUACUCUGAAUUAUAAGUGUUACAAGAAUUAUAACACUUGUAGUUUGUGGAAUGUGCACAGCUCGUUGCAUCCUGUGGUAGUAUAAUGCUUUAAAUUUUCACUGGUGGUGAGCUUGAAUGGCAUGCUGAUAGAAGGGGCCCCGCUGGCUGCUACAGUAUUUAAAAUACUAGAAAGGAAACAGGGAAAUUGUAAAUAUAAGGACGGAGAAUUGGGUGGCUGCUGCUGAACUGACUUGAUUCAUUCAAGAGACAUAAUUGACAGGCUCUCUAUGAUUAAUCAACAAUUAAAAGAAAAAUGAGAAAGCUUUUAAGACAAAAUGAUGGCAUUAUCCCCACUCCAAGUUCAACAACUGACUCCAGGCAUGAAAGCAUACUCCAGCCCACCAUUUGAGAUGACAUCAUUUUGGCCGGGCGCCAUAGCUUAUGCCUGUAAUCCCUGCACUUUGGAAGGCCGAAGCAGGCAGAUUAUCUGAGGUCAGGAGUUUGAGACCAGCCUGGCCAACAUGGUGAAACCCCAUGUCUAGUGAAAAAAAAAAUUAACCAGGUGUGGAGGCAGGCACUUUCCAUCCCAGCUACUCGGGAGGCUGAGGCAGGAGAAUCGCUUGAACCCGGGAGGCUGAGGUUACACUGAGCUGAGACUGCGCCACUGCACUCCAGCUUGGGUGACAAGAGCGAGACUCUCUUAAAAAAAAAAAAAAAAGGAAGGAAGGAAGGAAGGAAGAAAAGAAAGAAAGAAAGAAAGAAAGAAAGAAAGAAAGAAAGAAAGAAAGAAAGAAAGAAAGAAAGAAAGAAAGAAAGAGAAAGAAAGAAGGAAGGAAGGAAGGAAGGAAGGAAGGAAGGAAGGAAGGAAAGAAAGAAAGAAGGAAAGAAAGAAGGAAAGAAAGAAAGAAAAAAGAAAAGAAAGAAGAGAUGGCAUUGUUUCUCUGGAACUUAGUUCCUUUAUAAUUCAAUAUGUUCACAACUCUCCAGUGAACUGAGAGGAAAACAUUUUUUUUCAUUUUUUGUUGUAAUAGCAAUAUAGUGGUUUUAAAAUUAUGUCCACGAAUUCUUUCAAACUCUCUCCUUCAAGAGGUAAAAUCUAAUUUUCACCUACUUGAGUAUGGGCUGGAUUAGGGACAUACUUCUGAUGAAUGA
ensembl:lncRNA